GCCAACUUGACUCAAAGAAUGCUUGAGUCUGCGAAUUUAUUCCAGAUGACCCCGUCCUGUACUCCAGUCUUUGAGGGGUCUGAACCUCUCAGACCGCAACAACUUCACCCUGUUUGCCUCAGUUUCCUCAUCUGUGAAAUGAGCUGGAAAAGGAAAGAGCAAAGCGCUUCAGUAUCUUUGCCAAGAAAACCCCAAGUGGGGUCACAAAGAGUCAGACCUGAUGGAAAAACAACUGAUCAACUGAACAACAUUUGUGUAGAAAUCCUAGAUGACAGUAAACGAAGGGCUAUGGGAGAUGUGACAGACCAGUGCCUGGUCUCCUGGGGGCCCUGUCACCGCCUACUCUGAUGAUCCUGGAGUCUUUGCUGCCGCGUGCUGCUGCUACUCACUCGGCCAGGGCCAAGGGUUGUCCCCCUUUCUGGGAUGAGGCCUAGCAAUGUCUCCUAGUGCUGACUGAAUAUUGACAGGAGUGCUGGACCCCUUUGCCAGGGCUUAGCGAUGCCCUCCUAUGCCAAGGAUUGAGUGCUCUCCUUCUAGGAUAAGGUGAAGGCAUUGCCUCUGGCAUUGCUGUUGCUGGGGUCCAUGUUCUACCCCUCUAUGCCAGGCCAACCAUCCCCAAGGGUGCUGCCACUAUCCCUUUGUCCUUAGCCAUCCUGGGCUCCACUCUUCAAGGGCACCUCACUGACUUCCUCGUGGGAAGCCCUAAAAAGAGAGUUAUAGAGAGAGCAGCGUUCAUUCCCCAGCCCCAAUCCUCAACAUCUCUGUUCUGAUCAAGCAUUAUCCUUCCAUGUGCCUUACACCAAAGAGUUCCAAUGAAGUCCACAUUGUACAGUUCCCAUUGGGCUCCCGAAUGCCAUUUUAAAAGUCCUAAGUAGUUCUUUUGGAGUAAUUCUUUUUUUAAAAAAUUAGUUUAUUUUGAAUUAUCAACAAUUACUUCCAUAAGCUUUUUAGUUUUAAAUCUUUUUCCCCCUCCCUGUCCACCUCCCUCCCCAAGACGGUGUG
rnacentral:lncRNA from 1 species